AUUUUUCUUACGGUAUCAUCAUUUUAGGUACAUGAGAUCCACCUGCUAAAUCCUAUUAUUCAAACAUUUACCGUAAUCAUGAGAAAAAUAGCAAAUGUGAAAACGUGAAUGUGGAGUAGCUAAUACAUGAUUCUUACACUACGUGGUUUGGAUUUGCGAGCUUAUAGUACGAUGUGUCUAUGGUGGUGUGGUUGUGUUACGGUAUAAAGUGAAAAAUUUUCUAAAAGAAAAUUAUAUUGAAGGCUCUCAGAUUAUUUUCAUUCAUUUAAUUUUAUCUAUUUCUAAAUUAGCACGUAUUUUAAAUUCUUCCUAAACGAAGGUUAAAAUUUUAAUAACACUAUACCACGUUCUUGACUAUCUAUAUAUUUUAGUAGACACUAGAUGAAUAUGCACACAAGUAAUGCCAUAAAUCAACUAUGAAUCAUGUCUGGAUGUUUUCCUAGUUUAUAUUUUUUACUAAGGUUUCUAUAGAUUCUCAUGUAGAAAGAUAAUUGCAUUGUUAAGAAGAAACAAUCACAUGAGAGGUUACCUUUUAGUUUUACAAUUGCACCUAAGAUUUUGGAGAUGUUAUCAGGAAGCUCAAGAAAUAUAAUAAAGAUGACGCUAUAAGAGUGUUUUGUAGGGGAAAGAGGGAGAGAGUUUUUAUGGCACUUAAAUAAUGAAUGAUAUUUUGAAGAGUUUGGUGAUUAUUUUCUUUACAAGGUCGUCUUUAGGUGGAUCCCAUUUUGAAUUUAAGAACACAAAUUUGAAACUUAACAAACAAAGUAAGUUCACCUAAUAUGUAAUUGUUUAAAUAAAAUAUUAUGGAAAAACUCUUCAAGUAGCCUAAUAUCUUGUUAUUGAAACUUUGCAAGCACCAAACAAACACUCAUAGCUUGUUUAAUUUGCAUGAUUAAAAAGAAUUGAAAAUUAAAUUAAUGAGAUUUUUGAAGCUGGGUAGAAAAAGAGAAAACUACAAUGUAGGACAGUAAUUCUCUUAUUAUUGAAUCCAGCAAAGUAUAAGUAUUUAUAGUGUUAAGGUGCAGACAAAUUCCUUUAUUCUAGGGAUUUCUACCAAAUUUAAAUAUAUGUCAAUCUCAUAAAUAAAGAAAUGAACUAUAAGUCGACAUUGAUAGAGCCACGAAUUAUGGGACAAAUGACCACCAAAUCUGCUUCUAAUUUUUGUAAUCUUCAACACUCCCCCUCAAGCUGGUCGAUACAAGUUAAAUAAUCUCAGCUUGUCCACCAUUUUUCCGAACAUGGGUCUAAAUAAACCUUUUGUUAAUAAGUCUGCAACCUGUUCGGAAAAAGGUACAUAUACGAUGCAUAUUGUCUCAUUUUCUAUCUUUUCCUUGAUGAAGUAUCUAUCGAUCUCUACAUGUUUAGUUCUGUCAUGAUGAACAGAAUUAUGUGACAUUGCAAUAGCCGCUUUGUUAUCACAAUAAACUUUCAUAGGCUUAUUCUCCUUAAUCCCAAGUUCACUUAACAGUAUCUUUAACCACAUUAUUUCACAGAUUCCAUAUGCUAAGGCUCUAAAUUCAACUUCAGUGCUGCUUCUGGCCACAACUAGUUGUUUCUUACUUCUCCAAGUGACUAGAUUUCCCCAUACAAAGGUACAAUAACCGAUUGUAGAUCUCCUGUCUGUUAUUGAACCGGCCCAAUCAGCAUCGAUGAGGGUUUCAAUCGAUUUUCCAGAGUUCUUCUCAAGAAAAGUCCAUACCCAAGGGUCCCUUUUUAAUUUCUUUUCUUAUUUUUUUUUUUAUUUUUUCUUGAUUUUUUGAUUUUUUUCAAUUUAUUUAAUAUGGUAAUUAUCAAGUUACCAUUUUACCCUUUUCAAUUUAGUCAAAAUAGGUCAACAUUUACUUUUCUUGGUCAACUAAUCAAAUGGAUGGAUUCCAUACAUCUGGACCCCUAGUGCAUAUUUCUGAAAGGUUUGGUACUCACGGUGGCACAAAUGAAAGGUUUGGACAAAGUCUGCUAAUAAACGAAAGGUUUGGGACCGCUGUUGCAAUUUUCCCUUUUUAAAAUUGUGAUUAAGAAUUUUUCAAGUAGAAUUCAGAUUAUUUUGUUCUUGAAAGUAGAUUCCAUUUAUCCAUCAAAUCUAAUACUCAAAUCCAACAUUAAUGGCUUCAAAAUCUAAUCCCGAAUGGACUCAGAGACUGGGAAUUCUCUACAGGCAGCCAACUUUCUCUAAUUUAUAAAAAUUGCUCAGUUCGCUCACUGGGGUGUUCUUAAUAUUGUUUCAAAACCUCUAUAUGUCAACAUCAGCAGGAAAGACAUUUCAAAUUAGACAAGAGAGGAAUCCGUAACACCAUUAGAAAAGGAAAUAACUGAUCUGGUUUCAUCAUGAGAAUAAGAAUGAGCUGGAUAAAUAUUUUUUUUAGGAUAGGAUACAAAUUACUCCUAACAACUGAAAGAACAUACAUCUUGGUACUAACUUUCCAUUAAGGAUUACAAAGCCAGCAAGUUGCUUUGACCGCAUGAAUUUCGUACACCUUUGGCAUCGGGGAAACUCAAAUAUGUGCAAGUUACAAGCACAAGAUCUUGACAUUCACGGGGUGUCAAUGGCUAUAGUUCCUAAGUCAGAUACAGCAAGUUCUUAGACAAAAAUUGGGACAGCUCCAAGAUUAAUUACCACCUUAGUGUGCUGAGAUAUCUUAGAAGCGAUAUUUGUUCGCGGCCAAGCUGCCUCAAACUAAAGCUGUGGAAAAUUCUUUCCUCACGAAAAAUGCCAGCUAAAAUUGUCUGCUACAUCUUUAUUGCUCAUGACUGAAAGCCUAAGGAAUGGAGCAUAUUAAUUCUCCAAUUAUUUAUACUUUAAUGAAUAAUGUACAAGCAAUUAUAGCACAUAUAUUUAAUUAGAUGUUGGAAGUAUAUACUUGCAUUUACAACAAUGUUGGAAGUAUCAAAAAAUUUGUUGUCCUCUCAUAUCUAUAUUAAGCUUGAGAAACAGAGGUUGUUAAAUGUCAAUUAUUCAUACAUUAAUUCAUAGUGAACAUUAUAGUGUAUAUAAUAGAGUAUACAUUGAAAAUUGGGAAUGAAGAAGAUCCGUAUACCUUCAGAAUCCAAGAAAUUCGAAAUAUCAAAGGACUUUCCAUCUUUUGAUACUUC
rnacentral:lncRNA from 1 species